CUCUCUCCCCCCGCCUUAAAUGAUCUCUAUGGUUCAGCAGGACACACAGGAGGCGGCAGCGGCGGCGAGGGACAGAGCCACGGCAGCAGCGGGGGCCGCGGCCGCUCGGCGCCCUUUUGUCUGCGGCCUAAGAAAGGAGUCUAGCCUUGGCCACUGAGGUGCAUGGGGUUCGAGCCCCGUCGCUGGGAUAUUGUUUCUUUCGCAGAGCUGGAUGAAAAACCACUAGUUUCACACUGUUUGGAGGGCACUUGAAUUUUGGCUGAAGAGCAAGCGUCUGCAUUUCUUCUAAUGCUUAGACCUUAUUCACAUGGCACCCUUGAAAGAGGUGGAUUUUCUGUUUUAUGAAGAUGGAGAUCAGUGACUGUCUUGUAUUUUCUGUGUUCUGAAUGUGUAAAUGUUGUAUGUGUGAUCUUAACUGCUCUUGCUUGCAUAGUAUGAAAUCCUGCAUAUUUAUCUAACAAAAGCCAAAAUAUGUAGCUAUCAGUUUCCUUACCUUGAUAAGGUAGUCUUUUUACAGUAUAGUUGAUUGUACUGCUUGGUGCUAACAAUUUAUAGGUGAGCUUCUGAGAUAUUUUUUUCCUGUGUAUUUUGAUUUACUUUUUGUGAGAUGCAAACCUAUGAAACUGCUACUGUGAAUUAAUCAUAUUGCUGAUAUAUUUGUAGCGAUGGCAAAGGAUAUCAUUUUGAUACAAAUUUUAGUGCGCUGACCAUUUAUUACUAUGGCAUAAACUUGGAAUAUAUUAAAACAUUUACAAUAAAUGUGCAUAACUGUCUCUUUUUUUUUUUAAAUGAGAGUUAGUUUUACAGUCCUUGUAAGACCUAAAUACAAGCAGGUUAUGGUUACUCUUCUGAGUUUAUAAUGAAAAUCAAAGCUCUAGCAAAGCACUUAAGUUGUUGAUUUAGUAGUGCUUGUAAUUCAUGGGUAUAAUGCAUUUCUAUUACUGGGAAGAGUUGGGCAAACUUACAAAUAUUUCAGUUACUUUGUCUCUUUUUUCUUUUCUUAAUGUCUGAACUAAUUAUUUGUUUAGAACCCAUGUAAAGAUUGCUCUUUCAUCUCUGCUGAAUAUAAAGUGUCUGGCAGAAUAUAGGAGUCAUCACAGUGAACAAGUUUAAUAAUACUUCAUUUGUAAACUGCAAUGCAUUAUCUAAUAACUUGAGCUCUGUCAUAAACUUCACCUUUUAAAAAGUGAAUAUUCUCAUGGUCACUAAUAAACUAACAUGUUUAUGGUUAAUACAAGUA